rnacentral:rRNA from 1 species
UCUACGGGAGGCAGCAGUGAGGAAUAUUGGUCAAUGGCCGGAAGGCUGAACCAGCCAAGCCGCGUGAAGGACGAAGGUGCCAAGCAUUGUAAACUUCUUUUGUCAAGGGACAAAAUCAGGCUCGAGAGCCUGACCGAGGGUACUUGAAGAAAAAGCAUCGGCUAACUCCGUCCCAGCAGCCGCGGUAAUAGGGAGGAUGCGAGCGUUAUCAAGUUUUAGUGGGUUUAAUGGGUGCUUAGGCGGACUGUUAAGUCAGCGGUAAAAGCCCGGGGUUCAACCCCGGCGAGCCGUUGAUACUGGCUGUCUUGAGAUGUCGAGAGGUAUGCGGAAUGCGUGGUGUAGCGGUGAAAUGCUUAGAUAUUGCGCAGAACUCCGAUUGCGAAGGCAGCAUACCGGCGGCGAUCUGACGCUGAGGCACGAAAGCGUGGGUAUCGAACAGGAUUAGAUACCCUUGUAGUC